rnacentral:lncRNA from 1 species
AUCCAGGCUACGGUACCUCUGUAUUAGAUGGACAGCAUUUCUGCCUAACUGCUGGACUUGUUAUUUGACUCCAGUUAGCUACUCAGUCUUUCCCCACCCCUACCCCUUCCCUGUCAGCUCACCCACACAGGCUUCCUCUAAACAUAAUGAGCUGCCAGGGACGGACAGGGGAGGGGGAGAGAGAACGUAAUUGCUUCCUUUACACAGCUUGUAGGCAGGCAGACAGUUUAGGCAGAGAGACACAGAAGAACACUUGGAGAGAUUGAGAGGAGGCACAACAUUUAAAAAAGAGAGAAGUAAGAUAAAAGGGAAACAAAUCACCAACAGCGCAAAAUAAAAUGGAUCCCAACAAGAUGCCAAAUGCCCCACCACCAGGCUGGAACCCAGAUGAGAAGUCUGGGAUGGGACAACCAGCUCCUCCACCCUACCAGGACCACCCCCAGUACCCCAACACAGGAUACCCUGUACCAGCAGGCUACCCCGCCAAUCCCCAGGGAUACGCACCACCGCCCCAGUAUGGAGGAGCUCCUGGGGCCCCUUACGGCCAGCCAUACCCCCAGGGAGAGUACACCCAGUCCACCGUCACAGUCCAGCCUACGGUGUUUGUGACCCGUGGAGCUCUGCCUUACCCUCUGCCAGACUACCUGGGCUACUCCAUUUUCACCAUGCUGUGCUGCUGCCUGCCACUUGGCAUCGCUGCACUUAUCUACUCCAUCUCGCUGGGGAGAGGGACAUGUUUGUGAUAGUUUUGCCCUUACACU